GCGAAAACUUUACAAUGCUGGCAACAGCGAUAAGGGAACCUCGAGUGCCAGGUUACAAAUCUGGCUGUCGUGAUACCUAAAAAGCAUUGCAUAGCAAGGGCCGGGCAAGACCGGUGCCAGCCGCCGCGGUAACACCGGCGGCUCGAGUGGUAACCGUUAUUAUUGGGUCUAAAGGGUCUGUAGCCGGCCGGAUAAGCCUCUUGGGAAAUCUGGCAGCUUAACUGUCAGGCUUUCAGGAGAUACUGUCUGGCUCGAGGCCGGGAGAGGUAAGAGGUACUUCAGGGGUAGGGGUGAAAUCUUGUAAUCCUUGAAGGACCACCAGUGGCGAAGGCGUCUUACCAGAACGGACCUGACGGCAAGGGACGAAAGCUAGGGGCACGAACC
rnacentral:rRNA from 1 species